rnacentral:rRNA from 1 species
GACAGAGGAUGCAAGCGUUAUCCGGAAUGAUUGGGCGUAAAGCGUCUGUAGGUGGUUUAAUAAGUCAACUGUUAAAUCUUGAGGCUCAACUUCAAAAUCGCAGUCGAAACUAUUAGACUAGAGUAUAGUAGGGGUAAAGGGAAUUUCCAGUGGAGCGGUGAAAUGCGUAGAGAUGGAAAGAACACCAAUGGCGAAAGCACUUUACUGGGCUAUCACUGACACUGAGAGACGAAAGCUAGGGGUAGCAAAUGGG